ACCAGUACCGUGAGGGAAAGGCGAAAAGAACCCCUGUGAGGGGAGUGAAAUAGAACCUGAAACCGUGUGCGUACAAGCAGUGGGAGCCUUAAUUUAUUAGGGUGACCGCGUACCUUUUGUAUAAUGGGUCAGCGACUUAUAUUCUGUAGCAAGGUUAACCGUUUAGGGGAGCCGUAGGGAAACCGAGUCUUAAUAGGGCGAUUAGUUGCAGGGUAUAGACCCGAAACCGAGUGAUCUAUCCAUGAGCAGGUUGAAAGUGCCGUAACAGGCACCGGAGGACCGAACCCACUGUCGUUGAAAAGCCAGGGGAUGACUUGUGGAUAGGGGUGAAAGGCUAAUCAAACUCGGUGAUAGCUGGUUCUCCCCGAAAGCUAUUUAGGUAGCGCCUCGGACGAACACCAUUGGGGGUAGAGCACUGUUUCGGCUAGGGGGUCAUACCGACUUACCAAACCGAUGCAAACUCCGAAUACCGAUGAGUGAUAUCCGGGAGACACACAGUGGGUGCUAACGUCCAUUGUGGAGAGGGAAACAACCCAGACCGCCAGCUAAGGCCCCAAAUUCCUAGUUAAGUGGGAAACGAGGUGGGAAGGCAUAGACAGCUAGGAGGUUGGCUUAGAAGCAGCCAUCCUUUAAAGAAAGCGUAAUAGCUCACUAGUCGAGUCGGCCUGCGCGGAAGAUGUAACGGGGCUAAAACUAUAUGCCGAAGCUGCGGAUUUGCAAUUUAUUGCAAGUGGUAGGGGAGCGUUCUGUAAGCCGAUGAAGGUGUAUUGAGAAGUAUGCUGGAGGUAUCAGAAGUGCGAAUGCUGACAUGAGUA
rnacentral:rRNA from 1 species